rnacentral:rRNA from 1 species
GCUGACUAGCUAGCCAACACAUUUGGUCUAACACCACAACAUAUAUACCCCAAUAAAACUUAGAAUUAAGUCAACAAACCAUUUUUCCCCCUUAGUAUGGGCGACAGAAAAGGGAACAUUGAGCAACAGAGAAAGUACCGCAAGGGAAAGCUGAAAGAGAACUGAAACAACCCAUUUAAGCCUAGAAAAGCAGAGAUUAAAUCUCGUACCUUUUGCAUCAUGAUUUAGCCAGCAAACCCGAGCAAAGAGAACUUUAGUUCUGGCCCCCGAAACUAGACGAGCUACUCCGGGACAGCCUAUUAUAGGGCCAACCCGUCUCUGUGGCAAAAGAGUGGGACGAGCCCCGAGUAGAGGUGAUAAACCUAUCGAGCCUAGUUAUAGCUGGUUGCUUAGGAAAUGAAUAGAAGUUCAGCCCCCUGGCUUUCUUAAGACAUAAAGGUAAAACUAACCUAGUCCCAGAGAAACCAAGAGAGUUAGUCAAAGGAGGUACAGCUCCUUUGAACAAGGACACAACCUUAACAGGCGGCUAAGGAUCAUAAUUACUAAGGUAACCUGUUACAGUGGGCCUAAGAGCAGCCACCUGCAUAGAAAGCGUUAAAGCUCAGACAGAUAUAAACCUCUUAUUUUGAUAAGAAAUCCUACCCCCUAACCGUACUAAGCCAUUCCAUGCCUCCAUGGAAGAGAUUAUGCUAGAAUGAGUAAUAAGAGGGAAUAACCCUCUCCCAGCACAUGUGUAAGUCGGACCGGACUCCCCACCGACAAAUAACGAACCCAAACCAAGAGGGUAAUGCAGGCCAGAAAAAACACCAAGAAAAGCCUACACCAAUAAAUCGUUAACCCCACACAGGAGUGCAAGCAGGGAAAGACCCAAAGGAA